UGCCAGCCGCCGCGGUAAUACGGAGGGGGUUAGCGUUGUUCGGAAUUACUGGGCGUAAAGCGCACGUAGGCGGAUCAGAAAGUUAGGGGUGAAAUCCCGGGGCUCAACCCCGGAACUGCCUCUAAAACUCCUGGUCUAGAGUUCGAGAGAGGUGAGUGGAAUUCCGAGUGUAGAGGUGAAAUUCGUAGAUAUUCGGAGGAACACCAGUGGCGAAGGCGGCUCACUGGCUCGGUACUGACGCUGAGAUGCGAAAGCGCCGGCAGCUAACCGGAUCAGAUA
rnacentral:rRNA from 1 species